rnacentral:rRNA from 1 species
GAUGAACGCUAGCUACAGGCUUAACACAUGCAAGUCGAGGGGCAUCAGGAAGAAAGCUUGCUUUCUUUGCUGGCGACCGGCGCACGGGUGAGUAACACGUAUCCAACCUGCCCUUUACUCGGGGAUAGCCUUUCGAAAGAAAGAUUAAUACCCGAUAGCAUAAUGAUUCCGCAUGGUUUCAUUAUUAAAGGAUUCCGGUUACCGAUGGGGAUGCGUUCCAUUAGGCAGUUGGCGGGGUAACGGCCCACCAAACCUACGAUGGAUAGGGGUUCUGAGAGGAACGGUCCCCCACAUUGGAACUGAGACACGGUCCAA